ACAUCGAUAUAGUUUUACCCUUGUAUAAUUUUGGGGAUAUGGCCCAUAAGUUUCUACCUGGCGACCGUGAAUUGCCGGACUAUGAGGGAAAGUAGUGCAUGA
rfam:Bacillus sp. B-jedd genome assembly, contig: CONTIG000001